CCGGGUAGAAGGCAUAUUCCUCUUUCAGGUGACCUAUCUUUGGGGUUUUUGACGAAAAGGCGCCGAUAGAUACGUUUUAAAGCCCACAGACACCGUAGUAAUUAAUUGACUCAAUACUUGUCGAGCGCCUAUUGCGUGCCCGGCGUGUGCUAGGCUUCGGCUGCAGCUCUGACCAGCCCAGACACCCACCAGGCAGCGUGCAGGGCACCACAUGCUCUCCUCUGAAAUACAUACCCCUCGAGACUCGGCCGUAUUGUCCGGAUUGUCAAAUGCCUUUAUGAAUGAGGGUGGAGGUGGACCUCAUGACAAAAAUGAAAAUGAACAUGAUGUGGAAAAUAUGAAGAUGGAAUCUGCAAGAUAGGGAUGCUGAGCAGAAAGAUAAGAGUUUGAGUCACUCGACAUCUUGAAGCUGCUGCAGCAGUUCUAGACUGGCUACAUCUGGAAUUACUUUUAUGCCUGAAAAACCCCAAUUUGGUUUUCUGUUAUGUGUAGCUAAAAAUUUUCUCAGCUAAUACAUAAGCUAUCAUGUUGUCUUCCAACUAUUCUUCCUGCUUGCAGGCUCUACCAGUUGGAUAGUAAUACGAUAUAGCAUGUGAGAGAUAUAAAAGCUGUCACAAAGCAA